rfam:Asian citrus Psyllid, Diaphorina citri - Florida Strain, whole genome shotgun sequence.
AGGGUUGGAAUGAUGACUUCAUAGUUCACAUGAGACUCAUAUGAUUAUUAUUACUAUAGCAUUAUGUCUUUCGCUCCUAUCUGACCAACCCU